AUUUAGUUGAAGAGUCCCGAAGAGGACGAAACACGUGUCCUGGAU
rnacentral:hammerhead_ribozyme from 1 species